CACAUCAGUGACUUCAGUGGUAUUUCCCAUAUGGUUUUAUUUGAGGGAUAUUUAGAAGACUACAGAUUUUAAUAAUGCAGUAGGUAUCGGAGCUUGUUAAAGUAGGAGGAUCCAAAGCCUAUGAUUUUGUAUAAAGAGUUGGAAAAUUAAUUAUUAGCAAUGAGCAAGCUUUAAGUACAGUUGGCUGGGACAGAAAGGCAAACAAAAGUUUUAUGAUACUAUAAUUGCAAAUCUGAUAAUUGGUAAAGCUUAUUCUACAUGUACAUGUAAAAUUUUAAUAGCAAAAAACGUAUUUUUAGAACCUAAUUAUUUUUAUUAAGAGUUCAUUUAAAAUAUUUCAUAAAAAAUUAAAAAGAAAGAUAUCCUAAACACCUUAAUAAUAUACAAAAAAAGACAUCUUUAAAAUGUAAGGAUUUGUAACUUCCGUACAUCUUUAAGACGUCGUAAAGAUAUCUUUCCGGAAAUACCAGACAUCUUUAAGACGUCUAAAACGUCUUUAGUGAGUUAUCUUUUAGAUUUCUUUAAGAUGUCUUUGUGCUAUCUGGGUGGUUUAGUCUAUUUGAAUAAAAUUAUCCUGUGUUUGUAAUUGAAAAUUGGAACUUCAUAAUAGAUUUAAAAUUUUAUUG
rnacentral:lncRNA from 1 species